GACAAAAGAAAAAAAAAGGUAUUGGUAAUGGCCAUUAUGUAAUGGUAGAGGCCGUUAAGUAGUGGACGAUGACCAUUACUCACAUGGGCACAGAGUCCUUUUUAUUUUGGAGCGGAGAGGUAAAGAGCUUAUUUUCUUUCUAGUUUCUGCACUUCCACUUCUGUUGCUCUCAAAUUUGUCAUCUUUUACAAAUCUUCAUUUUUCGAACCAAGAUCAUCAAUUAGUGAAGGUUCAUUUGACGUGAAGGAGAGAAAUUAAUCUCACUUUUACAUUUGUAUUUUGUAAAGUAUGAGUUAUUUUGUCUUUGUUGUUGGUGUUUUU
rnacentral:misc_RNA from 1 species